rnacentral:lncRNA from 10 species
AAAAAAAAAAAAAAACAACAGAAUUUGCCAUGUGAGCUUAGCUCCUUUACUGCACUCAGUGUUUUCAUCAUCGUUAAAGCAAGGAGAUUAAAAUAGAUCAGUGUUUCUCAAACUUUCAGGUGCAUUUGAACCAUCUGGGGAUCUCGCUAAAAUGUGGGCUUGAAUUCAGGGGGUCUCUGGGGUGGGGUGCAAGAGUCUGCAUUUCCACCCAGCUCCAAAGUUAUGCUAAUGAUGCCAGUCUGAGGGCCACAUUUUGGGUCAUAAUGGGAAUUCACAAGUUUCCUUUCAUCUCUAUGUUUCUUUAGAUGACACAGGGAUUCUUGUUUUUGUCAUCAUGUUGUUUGAAUUGUUCAUGGAGUUUAGCUCACUACUUCUCAUCUUGCCUUCUCUUAUCACCCUGCAAAGGCCCGCCUUAGGUUUUGCUUUUAAUUGUUUAUAGUGUGUGUUUGGCAUCUCUAUCAGAUGCUGGACACAGUCCAUUUUUCAUGAAAGCCACAAGCUUGGAAAAUAAUACAUUCAACUCACCCAAGUUGCAGGCCACAGACCAAGGCAUUUAUCCAAUUGCCUCACGCUCCAGCCACAUUCCCUGUGAUACCUUUCCAUGUUCUUUGAGUACUUGAUUAACAGUCAUGAAAUGAAAAAUAUUCACUGUGUUUCCUUUCUGUCACUUGGACUGUAGUUGUCGCCUGCCAGUGAGGCAGCUUUUGAAAGUUUUCAGGUGAAAGAGUGUGGCCAUAGCAGGGCUGAGAUUCAGAGCUCUCAGUUCCACUGGUGAUGCAAGACCAUUCUCUUAGGCACAACGAUAGCCAUGUGCCUUAUUAAAGCAGUGGGUCUAUUUUUAUCUAUACGCCAUAAAACACUUUCAGAUGCCUAGUUGAAAGGUACUGGGUUACUAACAUAGGGCUAGGCUGCCUGGACCUGGGACCCAGCUUAGUUCUCUCCCCCAUGGGAUGAUCUUGGGCAAAUUACUAGGGUGGUGCAAAAGGAAUUGCAGUUUUUGCAAAAAAGAAAAAAAAAAAGGCAAAAACUGCAACUACUUUUGCACCAACCUAAUGCUUAUUCUCUCUGUGCCUUGGUUUCCUUAUCUGUGAAAUAGGAACAUUUUUCACAGGACUGUUAAGAAGAUUAAGUGGGUUAAUUCCCGUCAAGUACUGAGAAGUAUACUUAGCGCACAGUGAGUGCGAUACAGGCAUCGGCUAACGUUGCGAUUCAAGAUCCAACUAUUAAAUCUUGUUUCAGACCAUAUCACUUACUUUUCCAUGCAGCAAGUAUAUAUUUCCUGCUUGCUGUGUACAAAUUAUUAUUUAACAGUUACUUAAAUCUUGAUAAAUUGUAAAUAUUAGAAAUUAAAAUCUUAUAACUAUUGUAUUAUAUGUAGGCAGUAUGGAGGACAUAAAAUUGUGUUGCACCUCAAAAAAUGUGCAGUCUGGCCGGGUGCGGUGGCUCACACCUGUAAUUCUAGCACUUUGGGAGGCCCAGGCAGGUGGAUCAGUUGAGGUCAAGAGUUCGAGACCAGCCUAGCCAACAUGGUGAAACCCUGUCUCCACUAAAAGUACAAAAAUUAGCUGGGUGUGGUAGUGCAUGCCUGUAAUCCCAGCUACUGGGGAGGUUGAGGCAGGAGGAUUGCUCAAACCCAGGAGGUGGAGGUUGCAGUGAGCAGAGAUCACAUCACUGCCCUCUAGCCUGGGCAACAAAGCCAGACUGUGACUCAAAAAAAAAAAAAAAAAAAAAAAAAAAAAAAAAAAAAAAAAAAAAAAGUGCAGUCUGCUAGGCGCCGUGGCUCAUGCCUGUAAUCCCAGCAGCACUUUGGGAGGCCAAGGCAGGCAGAUCACCUGAGGUCAGGAGUUUGAGACCAACCUGGCCAACAUGAUGAAACCCCGUCUCUGCUAAAAAUACAAAAAAUUAGCAGGGGGUGGUGGCUCACGCCUGUGAGCUACUCGAGAAGCUAGAAGCCAGGCAGGAGAAUCGCUUGAACCCGGGAGGUGGAGGUUGCAGUGAGCAAGAUGGCACCACUGCACUCCAGCCUGGGCAACAGAGUGAGACCCUGUCUCACAAAAAAAAAAAAAAAAAAAGUACAGUUCAGGCCAUGUAAUUCCAGCUACUAGGGCAGCUGAGGCAGGAGGGUUGCUUGAACCCAGGAAUUUAAGACCAGCCUAGGCAACAGAGUGAGACCCUGUCUCUUAAAAAGAAAAUUGUAGUCUUAUGGGGAAGAAAAACAUGUACUUAAAUAUAUGUAAUAUAAUAAUAAUAAAGAAGGGCUAUUACCUACUAAGGAGUUAAGUAACACAUUUGGUAUUUCCUGCCCACUGCUCUAUCGCAAAACAAAAAAGAAAAUCCAAGUCGUCGUAUUAUUGUUUCAGUCCUUCCAUUUUAUUUAACACCUAAAGACUUAAUUUUAAUCUUGCAGAAAUUAUUUUUUCAAAAUGGAACUACUAUUAUUGUUUUUCUGAUUAUAAAAGCAAUAUACGGAUAAGCAUAAACUAUCUCAGGAAGAUUAGGGAAGACAGAAGUAACAGUGAUUACCUUCUGGAAGGCACUACAGGAAAAGGGAGCCUUAAUUAUUAUUGUUUACUCUUUUGUAUGCUUCCAAUUUUGUACCAUAUGCAGGUAUUGUCUACUAAAAAUAAAUAUUUUUUUAAUUAACAGAGGUAUGUUUGUUAUGUGACACAUGGUAUGAAAAUUAUAAAGUAGAAAGUAAUAUUACUUAUACUACUACCACGUACUUAGCGUUUUCACAUCUGUGAUUCCAGGCAUAUAUAAAUGCAUUUUUUUACAAAGACAAGAUCAUGGUAUACAAAAUGUUUUAAAAAUGCUUUUCAGGUCAAAAAAAUACAUAUCUACAACAUCAUUCGUAAUGAUGCCCAUAUUAUGUCCUAUUGUGUGCAGGUACUUUAGUUGAUUUAAUCAACCCUGUCUAGGUGAGUAUUUUCAACAGUUCUGUGAUGAAAACCCUUAUUCGUGCAUAUUUAUGUAAUUGUCUUGUUAUUUUCUUAGACAAUACUUACAGAAGUUCAAUAUCUGGGCAACGGAUAUGCUUACAAAGUUGAAAUUUAAAAAAGGCAUAGAAUGACUAAAGAAAUGAGUCAUUUCUCCCCAGGUGUCCCUCCAUGGAACAGAGGUGCAUUGUGGUUUAUAUGUAGGAACUAAAGGGAUAAUAUCUCUUGUCUCCCGUGGCUGGAAGGGAUGAGGGUUGUUUACCUCCAGCAUCAUCUAUAGAUUGCCAGGGUUCUCCAGUUUGAGAGUCUCCAGGCAAGCCCCAGCAUCCCCCGGAUUCUUAUGUCACUAAAAUUAAGUCGAUGAAAAUAGCCUUCUUAUUCAAAGCAUCUGCAGCUCACCCCUGCAGCUUCCCCCCAGCAGGAUGUCUCCUCCUGUCCCAGAAUGACAAAACUCAAAGUAAAUAAACCCAGGAGUGCAAACAAUGGAUAUGUGGAGCACGUCAGUCACUCGGAAGCUGCAUAAACAACCUUUGCUUUCAAAAAACAAAAUCUUCAUUGUCCCUUUUGGUCCAAGAAGCUCAGAACGUAAUGGAACUGUAAUGACUUUCAUACCAUCUUUCCAGAAAUGUGCACAUGAUACUAUCACUCUCAUUUACAGAAAGGGAGAGAAGGAGACGUAUCACCACGUAGUUUACCUUCAGGUCAAUGCCAAAGCCAGGAUCUAAUUCUGCAAACAUUCGUGGAGCUCAUUCUAUGUACCAAUGACUAUGGUCUAUCAGACUCAGGUUCUAAUUUUCAGACAUGUAUUUUUUCACUACUAAAAAAUUGCUAAACAUUUUUUCUUAGUUGGCAAAAGGAAUGAAGAAAAAAACACCUGGUAUUUUUUUAAACUGGAAAAUAUUGGCUCAUUCAACAUGGUUUAUACUAUUUAGAGGCAAGAGAAAAAGAGAUGGAGAUAUUUCUGUCUCAAAUAAUUUCCUGGCUUUCCAAAUUUUCCUUUCUUCAUCCUCCUGCUCCCCCUCCUCCUUUUCUUCUGCUUCUUCUCCUUCUCCUCCUUUUCUUUAGAUGCUAAAGGCAUGCCAACAAAAGACUCAGGAGAAAUGCCAGCCAUACCUUAAAGUUCUGUAGCUCUGUACUUCCUAAGAGCUCAAAGCAGUUGGAAACAAGAGAACACAUACAAAAGCAAAUGGUGUCUAGCACGAUGAUUGGAAUAAAGCAGUAAUAAGUCGCAAUGACCCCGAUGAUAGCAUUGUCUUACAACAUGCCCCAGGUAGGAAGGCACCAAGGUAACCAUCAUUAUCAGUGUCACUUUUCCUGAGGACUAUCUUUGACAAAAAUAGAUUAAGUUGUUUGUCCAAAUUCACAUGAAUCAAGAUUCAAUUUGAGUCUUGAGACUUUUGCUAGUCUCUUCCAUUUCUGAAUUCCAGGUUAGCCUGUUCCUAUGGGCUAGAAUUGGAAACUUAUUUUAUUAUUAAAGGGAGUGUAAAAAAAUGUUUUUUAGCACCCAACUCAAUGCUCUGCUCUGGUCACUGGGCAUAUUGCAACCUUCUAAUUCCUCUCAAUCCCAUAAAGUAAGAGGUUAUUUCUUUUCUUUUCUUUUUUUAAGAUGGAGUCUCACUCUGUCGCCCAGGCUGGAGUAUAGUGGCGUGAUCUCGGCUCGCUGCAACCUCCGUCUCCCGGGUUCAUGCAAUUCUCCUGCCUCAGCCUCCUGAGUAGCUGGGAUCACAGGUGCAAGCCACCAUGCCUGGGUAAUUUUUGUACUUUUAGUAGAGACGGGGUCUUAUUAUGCUGGCCAGGCUGGUCUUGAACUCCUGACCUAGUGAUCUGCCUGCUUCGGCCUCCCAAAGUGUUGGGAUUACAGGUGUGAGCCACCAUGCCCAGCCAGUAAGAGAUAAUUAUGUCCAUUUCACAGAUGGCCAAUCUGAGGUUCAGAUAAAUUCAUUGACUUGCAAAUAAUCUAUUUAGGGGCACCAUGGGAUUUGAAUCCAGGUCUCUUCAUUCUUUAUUCUUUUGUUCACUACUCUGGUCUGCAGUAUUAUUCUAUAACUACUCAUUUCAUAGGAAUUUCUUUUUAAGAGAUGGAGGUCUUGCUGUGUCACCCAGGCCUAGUGCAGUGGCACAAUCACAGCUCACUGAAGCCUCGAACUCUGAGGCUCAAGUGAUCCUCCUGCCUCAGCCUCCCAGGUAGCUGGGAUUACAGAUGCAAGCCACCAUGCCUGGCUUCGUGUAAAUUUAUAACAAUUUGUUUAGGAAUAUGCUCUCACUCCCAUUGUCUGCUUUUCAAAUUGGUCAGUAAAAUUAGCUAUCCUUUCAGGGUUUGACAAAGAUUAAGUUUCAUGAAAGUAAUAAAGCAUUGGUAUAUGUGAAGGCUUUGUUUUCAAUGAGUACAAUAUGACUCAAGGCCUUUUAAUAUCUUAUGAAUCAGCUGCUAGCUACAUUCUUGUUUGGAAUAUUUUAUUUGCAUUGUCAGGAAGAUGUAACUAUUGACUAAUAAAACAAAGAAAAUAGAAAAAGCCAGAAGGGAAGGCUGAAAGAGCAAUUACAGAGGGUGCAAGUCCAUGGAAAUGUAGAAAACAAAUCUGGGAUAUGAUCUGAUUUAUAAUCAAUAUAGAAUUAUUGGCCGCAUAUUGAAGAGUACUAUAAGCUUAUACUAAAAUGCUACGAACGAUGUGUAUUUUGAACAGGUGGCAGAUGAGUAGAUGGGGAGAUGGAGGAGGUCAUACUUCUGAAGCCUCUGUUAAGUGCCAGCCUCCCUCUCUGAAAGAGAAAUUUAGUCUUUAUAAUAUUUUGGUGGGUAGGGUAGGGGUAAGUUUUCUUAGUCCUUUUUUUUUAAACAGAGGAAACUGAAGAGGGUAAGGAAGAGGAAGAGACAGGGAAAAAGAGAGAGAGAGAGGGAAGAAGCAAAACUAAUAAUGGCAAAGCUGGGAUCUAAGUCCAAGAUCAUCUGUCUUCCAUGUACAGGCUCUCUCCACUCUAACAUGCGGCCUCAUGGUGCACAUGUGCAUCCAGCAGAACCAUGGGGGUUUCCAAAGGCCUCUGGUGAAUUUUGUAAAAAGAUAAUAACCACUGGCUUUUAGUAAUGCCUUAGGGUAGCUCAAACUUCAAUCAACACGAAUGAUUUUGACUCUUAAAUAACAUGAACAUGAGAACAUAUAUGUGCCAUGUAACGUGAUGCAGUGGUCUUAGACCUUUUUGGCACCAGGGACUGGUUUCGUGGAAGACAAUUUUUCCAUGGAUGGGCAGUGGGGGAUGGUUUUGGGAUGAUUCAAGUGCAUUACAUUUAUUGUGCCCUUUAUUUCUAUUACUAUUACAUUGUAAUAUAUAAUGAAAUAAUUAUACAACUCACCAUGAUGUAGAAUCAGUGGGAGCCGUAAGCUUGUUUUCCUGCAACUAGAUGGUCCCAUCUGGGAGACAGUGACACCCAAAGUGUGUUGUUUAUGUCCAGCCUACUCCAUAAUCUCAUUUCGGUGGCUGUCACUGCAGAAAACCCUGCUUCCCAAAGAUAGGGGGUUGUAGAUGGAAGCAGGCUCUUCAGUGCUUUUGUGGCAAUCUGAGGAUAUUCCCCUUUGACUUUAACCCAGAAUGUAUGGAGAUUUGAAGUUGUCUCAAACAUACUUAUAAGGCCACCAGAUGCAGCUGUAUGAUUGAAGUAUAUCAACUCACCUGUAAAGCCUGCCACCAGAUGAAGCUUAAUUGUCACUUGCCACUCACCCAUAGGGUUUUGAUAUGAGUCUGCAAGUGAUUUAUUAUGGUCUCUGUGCAGUCAGACCUCUCUGCUAAUGUUCAUCUGUAUUUGCAGCUGCUCCCAGUGCUAGCAUCACCACAUCAGCUCCAUCUCAGAUCAUCAGGCAUUAGAUUCCCAUAAGGAGCACGCA